rnacentral:rRNA from 1 species
AGCGAUCGCUGGCGGCAGGCCUAACACAUGCAAGUCGAACGGAUCCUUCGGGAUUAGUGGCGGACGGGUGAGUAACACGUGGGAACGUGCCCUUUGGUUCGGAACAACUCAGGGAAACUUGAGCUAAUACCGGAUGUGCCCUUCGGGGGAAAGAUUUAUCGCCAUUGGAGCGGCCCGCGUCUGAUUAGCUAGUUGGUGAGGUAAAGGCUCACCAAGGCGACGAUCAGUAGCUGGUCUGAGAGGAUGAUCAGCCACAUUGGGACUGAGACACGGCCCAAACUCCUACGGGAGGCAGCAGUGGGGAAUCUUGCGCAAUGGGCGAAAGCCUGACGCAGCCAUGCCGCGUGAAUGAUGAAGGUCUUAGGGUUGUAAAGCUCUUUUACCUGGGAUGAUAAUGACAGUACCAGGAGAAUAAGCCCCGGCUAACUCCGUGCCAGCCGCCGCCGUAACAC